AGAUGCUCACUGGGCGUAAAGCGUGCGCAGGCGGUUUUGUAAGACAGAGGUGAAAUCCCCGGGCUCAACCUGGGAACUGCCUUUGUGACUGCAAGGCUGGAGUGCGGCAGAGGGGGAUGGAAUUCCGCGUGUAGCAGUGAAAUGCGUAGAUAUGCGGAGGAACACCGAUGGCGAAGGCAAUCCCCUGGGCCUGCACUGACGCUCAUGCACGAAAGCGUGGGGAGCAAACA
rnacentral:rRNA from 1 species